ACAUCACACAUUGCUCUCAGUGCCCUUAUGUUCACUCGUGCUGCAAAUGAAAUGUAAGCAUUAGUCCAGUUGUGUUUAAGUUCCAAGAUAUCUCCCAUUCAGCUGGAUUCUUACCUCCCCAUCUCUUCAGAGGAAAAAUUACUCCUUGGAUAAGCCUUCUGCACAGCUGAUCUUCCUGAAACCUUCUCUUAAGGAUAGAAAUGAACCAGAAAACAGCUCCUCCUGUAAGGUCCCAAAGAUGUCAGCUUGGAAAUAAUAUCCAGAAUGGUAUACUCAAGCAAAGAGACAGAAGAUAUCACUUGCCUGGUCUGAAAGCCUAUACUGUUUGAGAUGUAACCUACCUCUCCUGCUCUGUAACAAAAAGCUGCGAGAACAUGGGUGCAGCGGGGGGAAAAUGUGCACCUCAAACUCCUCAUACUCAGAGAAUUUAUUGUAAAGUUGUUAUCAAGCUUUAUAAACAUGGAAUUCAGCCCUAUUA